GGCCUAAUAAUAAUGCUAAAUUGCAAGUUUGGUUUUGAAAAUAAAUUUUCGUAGGCCUA
rnacentral:tRNA from 1 species